GGUGGGAUAGAGAUUAGAGGACUGGCUUCAUCGAGGGAGUGGGGUUCUCGAAUACUUAGCGCAGCUACAGAAUACUUAGCGUAAGUGCGUAUAAGCUCUCGAAUCCAGUUCUGUGAUUCAAAUCUCUCGCUCCGGACAGACUGUCUAGUUCUCUCCCAGUUUAUGCUAACAAUCUCCGGUUAAGAUUCUGUAAUUCACCAGCUAAAGCAACUAGCGACAGAAAAACCCUAGAAAAUGUCGGGCGGGUUUUUCCGGGGUACGUCUUCUGAGCAAGACACUCGAUUCUCGAAUAAGCAAGCGAAGCUGUUGAAAUCGCAGAAGUUUGCUCCAGAAUUGGAGCACCUGGUUGACAUUUCCAAGGUCAAGAUGGAUGUCAUCCGUCCCUGGAUUGCCACUAGGGUAACUGAACUACUUGGGUUCGAAGAUGAAGUUCUUAUUAACUUUAUAUAUGGUCUCCUCGAUGGAAAGGAAGUGAAUGGAAAAGAGGUUCAAAUCUCGCUCACUGGAUUCAUGGAGAAAAAUACAGUGAAGUUUAUGAAGGAGCUUUGGACACUUCUUCUCAGUGCCCAGAGAAACGCAAGUGGUGUUCCUCAACAAUUCUUGGAUGCCAAAGAAGAAGAAACCCGAAAGAAAAAGGCAGAGGCUGAUCAGAUAGCAAAUGAAAUUCAGAAUCAGAAGAAGAUAGAGAAGGAAAGUAGAGAACUCGAGCAAGAGAGGUUAAGGAAGAUGGACAAUGAGGUUGAAAUGAAGGCUAACAAUGCAUAUUUGGAGCCUACCUCAAAGCAUUUUCCGCGGAGGAGUUCCAGCGUUCGUUCUGGGGAUGAUAACGAAACCAACAAGAGAAAUGGUUUUAGUGGAAGAAGCAGGGUUUCUAGGUCUUCCCAUUCAGUUGAUAAUUCCCCUGUUUCUCAUAGAGCUCCACAAUCUCGAUCACCUAGCAAGUCCCUUUCACGUUCCAGAAGUUAUUCAAGUGACAGGCAUAAGUCAAGGAGCAUUUCUAGAUCUCCUGCAACUCGGGGGCGCUCCAUAUCUUCAGAAAGGAUGUUUCGUUCACCUAGAAGACGUUCAAUUCCACCUCGUAGGAGGCACUCAACCUUGGUUUCCCUUUCUCCUCCAAGGAGAUCAUCUUAUUCUAGGCGAAGAUCUAGUUCACGUCGUAGGUCACCUUCCCCGGAAUGGCGUAGAAUGCGUUCUCCUUAUAGAGACAUAUCACCUUCUCCGGUAAGGCGCCGGUUACCUUCACCCGUUCGACGGCGUAGAUCUCCCUCUCCUAUACGGCGUAGGUCUCCCUCUCCUACACGGCGUAGGUCUCCCUCUCCUUUACGGCGUAGAAGGUCUCCCUCACCUGUCAGGCGCAGAUCUCCUUCAAAUUUGCGGCAUAGAUCUCCUUUGCCUGUUCGACGUAGGUCUCCUUCACCCCUACAUCGUGGAUCUCCUUCCCCAGUGUGGCGUGGAAGUCCUUCACCCAUUAGACGUAGAUCACCCCUUCCUGCACGGCGUAGGUCACCUAUUCCAACACGACGUAGGUCGCCAUCUCCUGUACAGCGAAGAUCAACCUCUGUAAGGCGAAGACAUUGGAAGUCCCCAUCGACUCCACUUCGCAGAUCUCCAUCUCUUGUGAGAAACACAUCGCCUAUUCCUAUUCGCAGGAAAUCACCUGGUCCUACCCGUCGAAGGUCUCCUUCACCAUAUGAAUCAAGUUCCCCAUCUCUUAUUCGGAAUAGAUCUGGUUCACCUAUCAGGAGAUCUCCAGUGGACAACAAGAGGUCAACCAAGGAGUCUCCUAGAGAAAAUAUCAGGACUAUGUUGAAGGCACCAGAGAAAGAUCCAAAGUACCGUAGCAAAUUGGGUAAUAAAGCUCUUACUUCGUCAUCUUCUCCAGAAGGUGGAGAAAGAAGGUCCACUCCAAAUGAAAGUACUAGAAGGAAGGUAAUUGAGCAUAUGGUUCAUGAUGACAGCUCAAGUCCGCAUAGACGAAGAGAGCAGAAACCUCGUCAUGAAAUUCCCGCCACAAGCAACAAGGAAGCAAAUAACUCCAGGGGAGAUGUUGAUCUUAAAUCCAAGUCUCAACAUAAAGUAUCUUCACAUGCAUCUGAUGUCCAUAAGCAGAUAGAUUCUCCUGUGAAGAUACGUGACAACGAAGAGUACUCUCCCAAAAGAUUGGCUGGCCAUUGGGUUUCUGAUAAAAUGGAAUCAAGAAAAAGAGAGCAAGAGAAAAAGAGUGAGAAGUCUUCUGGGAAGGUUUAUUCUGAGACUUCUGAACACCAAAGAUCACCAGCAUUGUACAAGGACCUUCCGCCAGAGGACAAACAUCGGGUAUCUAUUCUGGAAGAAGACCAAAGUGUGCAGCGCCAUAAAUACCAAACUUUGCUGGUUGAGAAGGCUGAAAAGAAUAAUCGAAAUGGUAGUUAUGAGUCUGGUUCAGAUGAUAAUGGUAAGCACAUAAUUGAGAAAAAGGACAAGAGGAAGCAUAAAAGAUCCGAGAGGCGACAAAUGGCUUCUGACGAUGAUUAUAGCUCUGAUUCUGAUAUUGAGGAUAGGAAGGAAGCGAAGAGGAGGAAGAAGGAAGAAAAGAAGCUGCGGAAGGAAGAGAAGCGUCGACGGCAUGAGGAGCGGCGCCGUAGAAAGGAACAACGUCGUGCAGAGAAGCUUAAAGCAAAGAAUCAGAAUGAUGCUGAUUCUUCUGAAGGUGAAAAUGCUCGAAGGAAGGCUUCCCGUCGAAGUGAUGAUGAAGGGGCACAGUCGGAGCAGAAGAAACUUGAGAUAGAGCUGCGCAACAAGGCUCUUGAAUCUCUUAAAGCAAAGAAGGGGAUCAGUCGCUGACUGUGCUGCAUCAUUUACACAUUAAGCUUUUUAUCUUAUUCAUAAACCCCCCAAAAAAUUGUUAAAAAUUUCUUUAAAUCUUGUUAUCUAGUGUCUAUUUCUUGGAAUUUAAUGUUUUGGAUGGGAAUGUUUUUACAUAUUGGUAACUUUUUAAUGUAGUCUGUCUUUACUGCUGGCAGCUGAAAUGGAUAAAAUGGGGAUUUCCUGAGUUCAACUUAAUGCAGAACUUGCUGCUAGAUUUUCUGAUGAAAAUAAUGUCAACUAGAUGACUUGGUUGAGCAGGCAUGUGCAGAUCCGCUUUUUAAACAUCAAAUCAGAUAAAGAAAUGUUCCUGCGAAUUUGUGUUUUAGAACUUCUCCAUGGUGCUUUAGUUCUUGGACUCUGCUCUGAUGUCGAUAUCAGCUGUAGCCUUAUGGUAUGUUUACAUAUGUAUAUGCUCUAUCUAGAAUAUGACUUCUCCUAGUGAUUUUAAGGUGUUGAUCCUUGGCCUUUUGGAUAAAGCUAUUGGCUUUAAUCAUCCAUGGCAUGUGCAAGUUGGUCAUUUAAGAUGUUUUGCCUUCAUUGAAUUUCAAACCUUUUUAUUUUAUUUAUUGUUUAUAUUCUUUUGAAGAGUACUUGGAUUAUAUUGGUGUAAUAAUACCUCAACUCCAGCCA